AACUUGUCCUUCAAGAAAACUUUCACACCAAGAAAGAGCCACACAUUUUUCCAUUUAUACUGACCUCAAAGGCAAGGCAAGGAAACUAAUUAACUCUAUCAGUCAAAAAAUCUCUCAAUUUUAUUUUUCUACUAUAAAAUCUCAAGGCGUUGGAGUGCUUCCUCCUGCCACCCCCCUUCCAGCAACCAAGCAUUCUAACAUUUCCGUAUUUCAUACAAUGCACACCAUUCCAUAUUAUUGCUGAUUGAUAGUAUCGGAUUUCUUGUCAGUGAAACAAAGUCUUCCAUUACAAGGAAAUAAAUCUGACUGAUUCAACAAUGACGGCAUAGAAGAAUACAGACUAAACAGAAUCUGCGCAACCAUACAGUUAGUAAAAAUAUUUGCUGCCUUAGAAAACCAAAGUCAAACUCAUCUAUCUCCUUCAGACUCAAGUAAACGACGAUGCUUACAAUCACUGAAUUUUGAUACCUUAAUUGCCACUAUUGCAUGAAAGUAUGCACUUCCACCAGCCCUAAAACCGCAAUAAAACAAAGGUAUGCACUUCAACCAGCCCUAAAGCACCAGUUUUUAAGACCAGAUGAUUUGGACAUGGUGAGAUUCAAUGGCAGCCAAAACAAAAGAUAUAUUAGACAUGCAAAUGAAGUUGAAAGGAAAACAAGACGAGGGCACGAAGAUCAAGCCCACCAGAUUCACUUCCACAAGCAUGCUACCUGUCGUCAGUCAUUUAAAUACCAUCAUUAACAGAUAGAAUGUAACAUUCAUUGUGCUAGGACAUCCAAGGUAUGCUACACUCCUAAGUGUAUGUAAUCUACUAAUUAUAGUCUUGCAUAUACAUAUCUUAGUUUCAUCUCUUCCCCAAUAGUUUUUCUCUUCAAC
rnacentral:lncRNA from 1 species